UACGAAGGGGGCUAGCGUUGCUCGGAAUCACUGGGCGUAAAGCGCACGUAGGCGGAUUGUUAAGUCAGGGGUGAAAUCCUGGAGCUCAACUCCAGAACUGCCUUUGAUACUGGCGAUCUCGAGUCCGGGAGAGGUGAGUGGAACUGCGAGUGUAGAGGUGAAAUUCGUAGAUAUUCGGAAGAACACCAGUGGCGAAGGCGACUGACUGGACAAGUAUUGACGCUGAGGUGCGAAAGCGUGGGGAUCAAACAGG
rnacentral:rRNA from 1 species